GGCUCAGGAUGAACGCUGGCGGCGUGCCUAAUACAUGCAAGUCGAGCGGAGGAGUAGCAAUACUUCUUAGCGGCGAACGGGUGAGUAACGCGUUGGUGACCUGCCCCGAAGUGUGGGAUAGCAGUUCGAAAGGACUGAUAAUACCGCAUGAGUUCCGAGGAGUUAGAGACCUUGGAGGAAAGGAGAAAUUCGCUUCGGGAGGGGCCUGCGUCCCAUCAGCUAGUUGGUAGGGUAACGGCCUACCAAGGCGAUGACGGGUAGGGGACCUGAGAGGGUGGCCCCCCACAAUGGAACUGAAACACGGUCCAUACACCUACGGGUGGCAGCAGUAGGGAAUAUUGCAUAAUGGGCGAAAGCCUGAUGCAGCAACGCCGCGUGUGCGAUGAAGGCCUUCGGGUCGUAAAGCACUUUUGGGGAGGAUGAGGAAGGACAGUACUCCCCGAAUAAGCCUCGGCUAACUACGUGCCAGCAGCCGCGGUAAAACGUAGGAGGCGAGCGUUAUCCGGAUUUACUGGGUGUAAAGCGUGUGCAGGCGGUACGGUAAGUUGGAUGUGAAAGCUCCUGGCUUAACUGGGAGAGGUCGUUCAAAACUACCGAACUUGAGUAUGGGAGAGGGAGGCGGAAUUCCGGGUGUAGUGGUGAAAUGCGUAGAUAUCCGGAGGAACACCAGUGGCGAAAGCGGCCUCCUGGCCCAAAACUGACGCUCAGACACGAAAGCUAGGGGAGCGAACGGGAUUAGAGACCCCGGUAGUCCUAGCUGUAAACGAUGUGAACUUGGCGUCGGCGGGUUUAAAUCCGUCGGUGCCGAAGCAAACGCGAUAAGUUCACCACCUGGGGACUACGGCCGC
rnacentral:rRNA from 1 species